AUUGAACGCUGGCGGCAGGCCUAACACAUGCAAGUCGAGCGAGCGGCGGACGGGUGAGUAAUGUCUGGGAAACUGCCUGAUGGAGGGGGAUAACUACUGGAAAAGGUAGCUAAUACCGCAUACCAUCAGAUGUGCCCAGAUGGGAUUAGCUAGUAGGUGGGGGAACGGCUCACCUAGGCGACGAUCACUAGCUGGUCUGAGAGUAUGACCAGCCACACUGGAACUGAGACCCGGUCCAGACUCCUACGGGAGGCAACAGUGGGGAAUAUUGCGCAAUGGGCGCAAGCCUGAUGCAGCCAUGCCGCGUGUGUGAAGAAGGCCUUCGGGUUGUAAAGCACUUUCAGCGGGGAGGCGGUCCCGGCAGAAGAAGCACCGGCUAACUCCGUGCCAGCAGACGCGGGAAUUC
rnacentral:rRNA from 1 species